rnacentral:lncRNA from 1 species
UCUUUAUUCAAUUUAUAUAUUACCACCACUUGCAAAAGCUAUUUCUAGUCAGUUUAAGUAGAUUGCUCAAAAAACUGCUGAAUAAUAGAUAUGAGAAAAUGUUGAUUGUAUACAUGUGAAGUGGGCAUCAGGGAAAUAAGAUUACCUACUAACAAAUGUCCAUCUAAGUGCUUUGCAAGAAUAACUGUGAAAGUCAAUUCUCAAUGUCAUGCAAAAAAGAGAAUAGAUGGAAAGUCAGUGGUAUUUUGGUUGCUGAAGUAUUUGUAUAACAUGCACUGUAUUGUAACUGUUACUUUCGCAAAGUGCGUAUCAUGCUGUUUGAGCUAAAACACUUUGUUAAAGAGCUGUCUGCAGAAGCGGUCAGAUAUUGGCAGAAUAAAUCAUAAAGUGUUUGCCCUUACCAGUGCCCCUGAUAGAAAAUGAAGUCUCAGAGGAGUUUUUGGCUCUUAACCUGAAUGUUGCAACUUUCUGUUUUCAUUCUCACCAUUUCCUGGAUUAUAGAGCUCAGUUUCAAAACACCUAUUUUAGGAAAUUUCAUUUUGAUUCCUGCAGAGAGGAAGAUUUAGCAUCAUUUUCUCAUCUGCGUCUUCAUUUCACUUACCUUGCUUGGACAACUUUCUCUCCUGUGCUCUAGUUGAAGCAACAUUCCUCCUGCUCAUUUCCAACCAUCUCUUUCAGCUGCAGCACUAUCAGAUGGUGGUGCAGCAGUAGCCUCAUUAUGUUUUAGAGCCCCUGUUUCCAUGCGAUCACAAAGAAGUAUCAGAACAGGAAAGGAAAGGUCUGGCAGACACGCUCAGCAAGAUGGAACAACAAGAAGUGCCAGAAGACUCAGGAAAACAAACACCCCUCCCAACCCUGUUUGGUUUUGUGUUUCCCCAGAAAGCAGUGUUCAAAUAUUGAGAAGAUUCUCCCCACAGAAUUUGAGAAAAUCCUCUUAAUUAUUAGAUUAUUAGAAUAUUAUUUAUUCCUGCUGGCUGCACAUGUCAUCUCAAACUCACUGAGAUCAGAGGCAUAUUAAGAAAAGCUUCCCCUCCAUAUUUUC